GUGUCACGCCCACAGAGCUCGAUUUUGUAACAUGGCAUCUUAGGUGGGCUUACUAGAAGAGAUAAAACCUUCUUUUAUAUAGAUAGAUAGAUGAGCAAAGUACCGACUAUUGCUUCUCCUUGAACUAGAGAAUUCUCUUGGUUCGAUGCGUGCCACCUGAAGCUUCUCUGCUUUUUGUAUUUAGAGGGUGUUAAACUAUUGAGCCUGAGACAAUUGUAAAUGUAUCAUUAACAUGCACGCACUUAACUAGUCAGUACAUGCAACAUUUUUUUUUUUAACAUCAUCAGAACAUAGUCCUCAACCUCU
rnacentral:lncRNA from 1 species